rnacentral:lncRNA from 10 species
CCUAGGUGACACUGAUGCUAUCGAUCCAGGGAGCACACUUGGAGUGUCCCUGCCCUGCCUUCUCGAUUGAGGUAGCACCUGGAAAAUGAUGAUAACAUCAGAACUUACCUGAUAGAGCUGUUGUCCCAGAUAAAUGAGAUAACAUGUGACAUUAUUAGGAUAGCUGCUGACAUUUGUAAAUUCUCAAUAAGUGGUAGCCACUGUUAUGGUGUGAGUCACCACGCACAUCACACAUACGAUGUGCUUCUUACAUUAUCAGAAGAUGAACAUGGUGAAUGGAAGCAGGACCGUUUGCUUUACAGAAAGCCAAUUUCAGGAGUCCAUGGCUACCAGCAGAGAGCACACGAAUCAAGAAGGAACGCCAGAAUCUGUAACUCAGAAACUUCCACCCCCGACACUUCCUCAUCUUGGGGAAUAUAAAUGACUUCUGGAAAACAGUGUCUUCUCUGUGCCUCUCCUUCUAUCGCCUGGUGCUCUGCCUUGGAUAAAUAAUUUACUCUCCAGCAAAGAGAACCAAAUUUGAUUUAUAAGCCAUAGUCCAGAUAUAUAAGACAAACUUUCAAAAAAUCUGCCUAUAUAAAUCCUAGCCGUCCCAGGGGUGUUUAUCAUUUUAUGUAUAUGGAGAAAAGGGAAACAGAGGUUUAAGUCUUUUUAAUCUGCAUUCGUUGGAAAGUGCUUUUGAACUACCGGCAUUCAGGGUCCCACAGGGAAGCAGGAAUAGCUCUGAGCUACAAAUAGUCAUGUUUCCUUCAGAAUUUUCCGCCUCUGUGCAUUUCUUUUGGUCUGUCUUAUGCCUCACUCCCACUGGCCCCAAACCUUCCUUAGUUUUUUCUAAUUCAUCCUUCAAGGCCUGGGUUAGAUGCCACCCCUGUGUCACGCCUGGGCCUUUCAAACUCAAGUUCUGCCCCUCCUCUUCUUGCCACCCUCUUCCUUUUCCUAUGUCCUGCAUUCUAACCUGGCCCUCCCCAGGCAGGGGGUUUCAGGCCAUGCAGCACUCUACAGUGUGUCCACAGAAGGUUGCAUGUCCAUCUCCAGAUGGCUCAUCUAGGAGGUCUGGCACCACUGGGGACUCCCACUUACCUGCUGAGGUGAGAAUUGCAUGGCAGGCAAGAGAAAGAAUGGGCAUUGUUCUAGGGCUCAUCUUUCUAGGUGAGGAGCAGGGCAGGGAUGAACCAGGACUGUGGAAAUAAACAAAAGCUUUUUAUUCUGUGCUUGCUAUAGCAGUGGAUGAUAUGGUUUGGCUGUGUCCUCCUUCAAAUCUCAUCUUGAAUUCCCAUGUGUUGUAGGAGGGAUCUGGUGGGAGGUAAAUGAAUCAUGCGGGGAGGUCUUUCCCAUGCUGUUCUCGUGAUAGUGAAUGAUUCUCAAGAGACCUGAUUGUUUUAAAAAGUUUCCCUGCACAAGCUCUCUUCUCUUGUCUGCUACAAUGUGAGAUGUGUCUUUCACCCUCCACCAUGAUUGUGAGGCCUCCUCAGCCAUGUGGAACUGUAAGUCCAUUAAACCUUUUUCUUUUGUAAAUU